rnacentral:rRNA from 1 species
GUAGUCUCGCACAGAUGCAUAUCAAUAAGCGGAGGAAAAGAAACUAACAAGGAUUCCCUUAGUAACGGCGAGUGAAGCGGGAAGAGCUCAAAUUUGAAAUCUUCAAGGUUUUACCUUGACGAAUUGUAGUUUAAAGAAGUGUUUUCUGUUGAAGUUUUGGUAAAAGUUCUUUGGAAUAGGACAUCAUAGAGGGUGAGAAUCCCGUAUUUGACCAUUAUUUUCAGCUGUGUGAUACACUUUCAAAGAGUCGGAUUGUUUGGGAAUGCAGUCCAAAAUGGGUGGUAAAUUUCAUCUAAAGCUAAAUAUUGGCGAGAGACCGAUAGCGAACAAGUACCGUGAGGGAAAGAUGAAAAGCACUUUGGAAAGAGAGUUAAACAGUACGUGAAAUUGUCAAAAGGGAAGCGUUUGACACCAGUGUUGUUUUCUCGAAAUCAAUUAAAAAGAGUUAGAUUUUGUUGUGUAUUGACCUUAACAGCUUGCAUUUCAAUUUUCUUGCUUUUUUUAAUGCACUUUUCGUUUAACAAGUCAACAUCAGUUUCUUUUGUUGUAAAAAGGUCAUUGGAAGGUGGCUUUCUUUUCGGAGAAAGUGUUUAUAGCCUUUGACUCCUGCAAUCGGAGAGACUGAGGUCUGCAGCGUAGAUCCUUCGGGGUUAGAUACAUUUGUGCUAAGUUAUAGCUUUUUAUAGACAACUUGUUGACUAUGAUUAGUCUUGUAGCUUACUCGCUUAUGCUAUUUUACCUACGCUUAGGAUGUUGAAGAUGUAGCACAUCAU